GAUGAACGCUGGCGGCGUGCCUAAUACAUGCAAGUCGAGCGAACAGAUGAGGAGCUUGCUCCUCUGACGUUAGCGGCGGACGGGUGAGUAACACGUGGAUAACCUACCUAUAAGACUGGGAUAACUUCGGGAAACCGGAGCUAAUACCGGAUAAUAUAUUGAACCGCAUGGUUCAAUAGUGAAAGACGGUUUUGCUGUCACUUAUAGAUGGAUCCGCGCCGCAUUAGCUAGUUGGUAAGGUAACGGCUUACCAAGGCAACGAUGCGUAGCCGACCUGAGAGGGUGUUCGGCCACACUGGAACUGAGACACGGUCCAGACUCCUACGGGAGGCAGCAGUAGGGAAUCUUCCGCAAUGGGCGAAAGCCUGACGGAGCAACGCCGCGUGAGUGAUGAAGGUCUUCGGAUCGUAAAACUCUGUUAUUAGGGAAGAACAAAUGUGUAAGUAACUAUGCAUGUCUUGACGGUACCUAAUCAGAAAGCCACGGCUAACUACGUG
rnacentral:rRNA from 1 species